ensembl:snRNA U6 U6 spliceosomal RNA
AUGCUCACUUUGGCAGCACAUAUGCUAAAAUUAGAACAACAGAGAAGACUAGCAUGGCCCCUAAGCAAGGAUGACAAGCAAAUUCGUGAAGCAUUCUAUUUAAAA